AAUCUACUCUCUCCGUCCAAUAAAAGAUGUCUCAAGUUUGUCAAAAUUUGGAUGUAUCUAAACAUGACUUAGUGCACAGAUGCAUUCAAAUUUAAUCAAAAUUGAGACAUCCUUUGUUGAAUGGAGGAAGUAUCAA
rfam:Brachypodium distachyon strain Bd21 chromosome 1, whole genome shotgun sequence.